GUUUAGGUCAUUUUUUUUCACUUGACAGAGUGUUUACUCUUCUUUCCAUAGCUGUUACUCAUUGGUGUAAGAGAAAAUCUCAUUGAGUGCGUACAGGGUAAACCAAGGGUGGGGUGGUAGACAGAGUGAUGAAGGGUGAGACAUGAAAUAGCUUCUUAAAAGCGAGACAAGCGCAGUAAAAGGAAGUGGCGCAAGGGUAUAAGAUGGAUGAAUCAUGGAGUUGUUUUGUUUACAAGUCUGUAUAUUUAUAUAUUUGUUGAAUGACUUGUAAUGUUAUCGUUUAUGCUUUAUGGUGUGUAUCGGAACAUGACAUCCCGAGUUUUGAUUAUAUAAUGAAAAUGCAUCUCUUGAUGAAA